AGGAAAGCCGGCAGGAAUUUUAUAUGGACCCUUCGCCACUGGUGCUUUCAAUUGUCUUUAAUUUACCACUGCUACAAAACGUGUUGUCUCUGUAAAGGAGUAAGAAACCUCUUAAGCAACACGAUAUAUCAAGUUGUACCUUGUAGCUAAGAUAAUUGAAGAUCUUUAAUAUGAGAAUUUGUACUGACCGAGGAUCUGUUGGGCAGUAAGAAUGGAAACCGAAAAUAUUAGUUGCCUAAGUAAUCGCCAUGUUUGCGCAUAAACAGCAUCAACGCAACCUUUAACUUUGCAGCAGUAAUAUAACAAGGCAGCAUAAGAAGGCAGAGAUUAAUGGGCUGCACUCUCUACUGGGUAUUAGAAAUGUUUCAAGUACGGUAUUUUAGAAAAAUAACAAGCUACAACCAUUAUAAAAUGUAGGUAAAUAUUGUAACUUUGACUUUUCAUACAACAAUUUUACGGAUUUAUCGCGAGUUUUGUUAUAAUUCGACGGGUGCAAAGUAAAAAGAGUUAUAUACAAAACAGCUAGUUUUCAGGAGAGCGUAUAAUAAGAAAAAUGCUCCCAUUUUGUUUAUUUUAAACUAAAUUUGUUGAAAUUUUCAUUACCGCUUCAUUAUUUCAUAUGGCAUCUACAUGUAUAUUUAUUUUUUAGUUAUUUACUGCAAUAAUAAAAAAAUCUCAAAAUUGUAGUUAACUUUUUUCACUUUGCACCCGUCGAAUUAUCUCGUGACGUUUCAAAGACUUUAUGACCCCGAAGGAUUGAGGUUGUUGGUUGUCCGAAAAGUGGGUUACAAUAUUUACAUUUAACAAUUAGUAACGCAAAAUAAACUGUGUGUCUUAAAAA